rnacentral:rRNA from 1 species
AGUGGCGGACGGGUGAGUAACGCGUGAGAAUCUGCCUUGGGGUCGGGGACAACCACUGGAAACGGUGGCUAAUACCGGAUAAGCCGAUUGGUGAAAGAUUUAUUGCCCGAAGAGGAGCUCGCGUCUGAUUAGCUAGUUGGUGAGGUAAGAGCUCACCAAGGCAGCGAUCAGUAGCUGGUCUGAGAGGACGAUCAGCCACACUGGGACUGAGACAUGGCCCAGACUCCUACGGGAGGCAGCAGUGGGGAAUUUUCCGCAAUGGGCGAAAGCCUGACGGAGCAAGACCGCGUGAGGGAGGAAGGCUCUUGGGUUGUAAACCUCUUUUCUCAGGGAAGAAGCUCUGACGGUACCUGAGGAAUCAGCCUCGGCUAACUCCGUGCCAGCAGCCGCGGUAAUACGGAGGAGGCAAGCGUUAUCCGGAAUUAUUGGGCGUAAAGCGUCCGCAGGUGGCGAUUCAAGUCUGCUGUCAAAGCACGGGGCUUAACUCCGUAAAGGCAGUGGAAACUGAAUAGCUAGAGUGCCGUAGGGGUAGAGGGAAUUCCCGGUGUAGCGGUGAAAUGCGUAGAGAUCGGGAAGAACAUCGGUGGCGAAAGCGCUCUACUGGACGGCAACUGACACUCAGGGACGAAAGCUAGGGGAGCGAAUGGGAUUAGAUACCCC